rnacentral:rRNA from 1 species
AUACGAAGGGGGCUAGCGUUGUUCGGAUUUACUGGGCGUAAAGCGCACGUAGGCGGAUUGAUUAGUUAGGGGUGAAAUCCCGAGGCUCAACCUCGGAACUGCCUUUAAUACUGUCAAUCUCGAGACUGGAAGAGGUGAGUGGAACUCCUAGUGUAGCGGUGGAAUUCGUAGAUAUUAGGAAGAACACCAGUGGCGAAGGCGGCUCACUGGUCCGGUACUGACGCUGAGGUGCGAAAGCGUGGGGAGCGAACAGGAUUAGAAACCCCAGUAGUCC